rnacentral:rRNA from 1 species
GAUGAACGCUGGCGGCGUGCCUAAUACAUGCGAGUCGAGCGAACGGACGAGAAGCUUGCUUCUCUGAUGUUAGCGGCGGACGGGUGAGUAACACGUGGAUAACCUACCUAUAAGACUGGGAUAACUUCGGGAAACCGGAGCUAAUACCGGAUAAUAUUUUGAACCGCAUGGUUCAAAAGUGAAAGACGGUCCUGCUGUCACUUAUAGAUGGAUCCGCGCUGCAUUAGCUAGUUGGUAAGGUAACGGCUUACCAAGGCAACGAUGCAUAGCCGACCUGAGAGGGUGAUCGGCCACACUGGAACUGAGACACGGUCCAGACUCCUACGGGAGGCAGCAGUAGGGAAUCUUCCGCAAUGGGCGAAAGCCUGACGGAGCAACGCCGCGUGAGUGAUGAAGGUCUUCGGAUCGUAAAACUCUGUUAUUAGGGAAGAACAUACGUGUAAGUAACUGUGCACAUCUUGACGGUACCUAAUCAGAAAGCCACGGCUAACUACGUG